UACGGAGGGAGCUAGCGUUAUUCGGAAUUACUGGGCGUAAAGCGUACGUAGGCGGCUUUGUAAGUAAGAGGUGAAAGCCCGGAGCUCAACUCCGGAACUGCCUUUUAGACUGCAUCGCUUGAAUCCAGGAGAGGUGAGUGGAAUUCCGAGUGUAGAGGUGAAAUUCGUAGAUAUUCGGAAGAACACCAGUGGCGAAGGCGGCUCACUGGACUGGUAUUGACGCUGAGGUACGAAAGCGUGGGGAGCGAACGGG
rnacentral:rRNA from 1 species